CCUACGGGCGGCAGCAGUGAGGAAUAUUGGUCAAUGGACGAGAGUCUGAACCAGCCAAGUAGCGUGAAGGAAGACUGCCCUAUGGGUUGUAAACUUCUUUUAUAUGGGAGUAAAACAGGGUAUGCGUACCGUCUUGUAUGUACCAUAUGAAUAAGGAUCGGCUAACUCCGUGCCAGCAGCCGCGGUAAUACGGAGGAUCCGAGCGUUAUCCGGAUUUAUUGGGUUUAAAGGGAGCGUAGGUGGAUUGUUAAGUCAGUGGUGAAAGUUUGCGGCUCAACCGUAAAAUUGCAGUUGAAACUGGCAGUCUUGAGUACAGUAGAGGUGGGCGGAAUCCGUGGUGUAGCGGUGAAAUGCUUAG
rnacentral:rRNA from 1 species